rnacentral:rRNA from 1 species
GGAGGAAAAGAAACCAACAGGGAUUGCCUUAGUAACGGCGAGUGAAGCGGCAAUAGCUCAAAUUUGAAAUCUGGAGCCUUCGGCUUCCGAGUUGUAAUUUGAAGAGGAUGUUUCGGUUGCGGCCUGGGCCUAAGUUCCUUGGAACGGGACGUCAUGGAGGGUGAGAAUCCCGUAAAUGGCUGCCGGCUUGCUUCUAUGUGAAACUCCUUCGAAGAGUCGAGUUGUUUGGGAAUGCAGCUCAAAAUGGGUGGUAAAUUUCAUCUAAAGCUAAAUAUUGGCGAGAGACCGAUAGCGCACAAGUAGAGUGAUCGAAAGAUGAAAAGCACUUUGAAAAGAGAGUUAAACAGUACGUGAAAUUGUUGAAAGGGAAGCGCUUGCAAUCAGACUCACUUUCAGUUGAUCAACGUUCCUUCUGGUUCGUGCACUCUGCUGUUUGUGGGCCAGCAUCAGUUAGGGCGGUGGGACAAAGGUUGCGGGAAUGUGGCUCUCUUCGGGGAGUGUUAUAGCCCGCUUCGUAAUGCCACCAGUUCUGACUGAGGUCCGCGGUUCGCCUAGGAUGCUGGCUUAAUGGUUGUAACCGACCCGUCUUGAAACACGGACCAAGGAGUCUAACAUCUAUGCAAGUCUUUGGGUGUCAAACCCAUGGGCGAAAUGAAAGUGAACGGAGGUGGGAGUCCUCGGAUGCACCAUCGACCGAUCCUGAUGUUCUCGGAUGGAUUUGAGUAGGAGCAUAGCUGUUGGGACCCGAAAGAUGGUGAACUAUGCCUGAAUAGGGUGAAGCCAGAGGAAACUCUGGUGGAGGCUCGCAGCGGUUCUGACGUGCAAAUCGAUCGUCAAAUUUGGGUAUAGGGGCGAAAGACUAAUCGAACCAUCUAGUAGCUGGUUCCUGCCGAAG